GACGAACGCUGGCGGCGUGCUUAACACAUGCAAGUCGAACGGAAAGGCCCUGCUUGCAGGGUGCUCGAGUGGCGAACGGGUGAGUAACACGUGGGUGAUCUGCCCCUUACUUUGGGAUAAGCCUGGGAAACUGGGUCUAAUACUGGAUAGGACCAUGCUGUAGGUGGUGUGGUGGAAAGAUUAGUUUCGGUAAGGGAUGAGCUCGCGGCCUAUCAGCUUGUUGGUGGGGUAAUGGCCUACCAAGGCGUCGACGGGUGGCCGGCCUGAGAGGGUGGACGGCCACAUUGGGACUGAGAUACGGCCCAGACUCCUACGGGAGGCAGCAGUGGGGAAUAUUGCACAAUGGGCGCAAGCCUGAUGCAGCGACGCCGCGUGGGGGAUGACGGCCUUCGGGUUGUAAACUCCUUGCAGCCAUGACGAAGCCCUUGUGGUGACGGUAGUGGUAGAAGAAGCACCGGCUAACUACGUG
rnacentral:rRNA from 1 species